rnacentral:tRNA from 1 species
GCUAUCGUAGCUUAAAACUAAAGCAUAACACUGAAGCUGUUAAGAAGAACCCUGGAAAGUUCCGAAAGCA